ensembl:rRNA 5S_rRNA 5S ribosomal RNA
GCUUACGGCCAUACCACCCUGGGAACGCCCGAUCUCGUCUGAUCUCGGAAGCUAAGCAGGGUCGGGUCUGGUUAGUACUUGGAUGGGAGACCGCCUGGGAAUACCAGGUGCUGUAAGCU